rnacentral:lncRNA from 1 species
UUUGUAGAAGGAAUUGUUGAUUUUUUCGGUGAUGAGUACUUAAGAAAACCCACCCCAGAGGAUCUUCAACGGUUACUUCAUUUCGGAGAGCAACGGGGAUUUCCCGGAAUGAUAGGAAGCAUCGACUGUAUGCAUUGGGAGUGGAAGAAUUGUCCAACGGCUUGGAAAGGCCAGUAUACACGUGGUUCAGGAAAACCCACUAUCGUUCUAGAGGCAGUUGCUUCAUAUGAUCUGUGGAUAUGGCAUGCCUUUUUUGGACCUCCAGGUACAUUAAAUGAUUUAAACGUUCUUGAUCGAUCUCCCAUUUUUGAUGAUAUAAUACAAGGUAAAGCUCCGCGAGUAAAUUUUUAUGUCAACGGACGGGAGUAUAAGUUAGCAUACUAUCUCACAGAUGAUAUCUAUCCAAAAUGAGCCACUUUUGUGCAAUCUAUACCAGCUCCACAAGAUCCAAAGUCAUGCUUAUUUGCUGAACGUCAAGAAGGCUACCGAAAAGAUGUCGAACGUGCUUUUGGAGUCUUACAGGCUCGCUUCGCCGUUGUUAAAAAUCCCGCUCUUUUUUGGGAUAAAGCAAAAAUAAGAAAGAUUAUGAGAGCUUGUAUCAUACUCCAUAAUAUGAUAGUAGAAGACGAACGAGAUGGAUACAGACAUUUUGAUCUUUUAGAUUUUGAACAUGGAGAAGGAAGCGGAAGUUCAACUGUGGAUCUCUCAUAUUCAACGUAUAUGCCCUCAAACAUUGCUAAUAUGAUGGGUAUUCGAAAUGAUAUUCGGGAUAAACCACGGUAUGAUCGUUUGCAAGCUGAUUUGUUGGAGCAUGAUCUGGCAAAAAUUUGGGACGUACUGAAGCCAACAAUUAAGUUUGUAUUACAAAAUUUAAGUUUACAUUUCAAUUGUAUGUUUGUGUUGUUUCUGUUUUUUUUUUAUUAUUUCAUAAUGUAAUAAUCUAAUUAAUUAUCUUUAUUUCCAUUAAAAAAACAUAAUUUUUUUUUCUUACAAGAAACCAUGUAAAUUUCUACCAAUGAACCAUUAAAAACAUGGUUUCUUUUAAUAGUUUUUUGCCACAAAUCAAUUCAUUAAAUAUUCAUAAGAAACUCAUUAGAAGUAAUACCAACAAUCAUGCUCUUACGCUUCAUUCCACCUUCAUGGAUUUUAUAAAUUGAUUGUUUCGCUCUAUUUGUAUUUAUAUUUACUGCAUUUUUGCUUGUACCGUGUACGAUAGGGGACAAGGAAAAAAUAUAUGAUUGUGAGUCUCGUCUGGUUCCACACAGAGAGAACAUGACUAAACAAUCCCCAAUUUUGUGCUUGAUCCCCUGUUGCUAACUUAUUCUUCACUGCUAGCCAAGUCACAAGUGAUAGAAGUGUGAUGUGGAAUAGCUUGUGAGAACCAAACCACACGAUGCCAAUUCAGCACUACUUCGCUCUAACCUGAUCCCACGUCUUAUAAGAAUAGAAGAGAUUCUUAUCCCAUAGGAGAAUGUUGGGUCCAUAUGACAUUAUUGGAGAAAGUGUGGACCGAAUAUUUUGAAGCAUUCCUUGUAUAUAACAUAACACUAAAAAUCACAUUAUAUUGAAAAAAUUUAUAACCCAACCUUUUUAGAUCAUUUAAUAAGUCAACUAAAAAUAAAGAUCAUAUGGUUCAAAGUCAAUUUUUUUGAUCAAUUCUAGUAAAUAAAUUAUCUCUUAUCGUAAAAAAAAAUCAUAAUAAUUAAGAUUUAAACAAGUUUUACAAACAAACACAAAUAUUAACAAAAUCACUAAAUUAACUUUAUAUUUUGUGAUCAAUUUUUUGUACAGAAGCUCUUUUGGUCUAAUGGUAGAUAAAUAUUUCAUUAAUGUUUUAUACAUUAAGAGAUCCAGUUUUCGAAUUCCUGAAAAUAUGAUCGAUUUAUUAUUAAAUGCAGGUCAACGGAGAUAAAUUUACAUACUGUAAUGUAAUAAUUCUCACAAUUUAUAAUAGAAUAAUAGAUCUAAUGUUAAAAAAAACUUUAUGUUUUAUUGUUUAAUUAAAAAAAAUAUAGAAUACAACCUCAUAAUUUUUUUAUUUAUAUACUAUAUCACACUUUAAAAACGGAAACGUAAGCUUCAAAAACAAUUUUUUUUUAUAAAUAAAAUAAAAAUUAGAAAAGCAAUGGAAACGAGUUUCCAAAAGAUUCUGAUUCCAGUUCUGAUUUCAAAGGUGAAAUUUUCUCGCAUGGAGUUUCCAUGCAACAUAUCUCAAAAGUUCUCAAAUAACAGACUUUUUUUCAUUUAUUGAGAUUCUAUGAAGGAAAAAUAUUAAAGGCAAAUGAGGUUUUUAUUACAUGAACUGAACCAUACAAACCAACUAACCAAGACCUAAAUGAUUCUAAAGAGAACUUUAAAAAAAAAAAAACAGAAGUAACUUAAGAUACUCUGGUUUAUACAACCUUAUUGAUCACCCGCUAGUACCUGCAAUAAAAGCAUCAUCAUGUCGUUUUUUAUAAUUUCACAAAAGACUGCACUAACACAAAUUACUAAACUACUGUUUAGUUAUGUGCACGUAGAUUUAAGCUCAUUGAUAAACUAGAUCCUGUAAGGAAUUGACGGAGUUAUUGACAUAACCGAUCAUUACACCAGGACUAAAUAGUGUCUCCCUCCACUUAUUGUGAUUCAUCCUCACCAAUUUCCCGGUUUCACUCUCUCUUUCCAUCACACUAGUGAUUGCAUCGCGCAAGCUCUCUUUCGAAAACCAUCCUGUUUCUUCUCUAGCCACUUCAACCGAAACCUCGAGUUCUUCACUCAACAACCUUGUGUUGAGGAUCUGAUCACCUAAUUGUGGAAUCAAAACUAUCUGACAAUCAUUCAUCAAAGAUUCCCACAUUGAUCCAAAACCACAAUGGCUCACAAAGCACCCAACAGAUGGAUGAGACAAUAUCAGUUCUUGUUGAACCCAUCCUCCCCAAACAACUCCUCGUCCUUUAACCUUUAGGUAGGCACAGAAAAAAAAUUAAUUGAAAAACUAAGUCGAAAUAGCCGGAUUCAAAUUAUAAGUUCUUUUAUGAACGGUUUAGUUUCAUUUUUUAAAUCUAAAACAAAACUGAAACCAUUUUUUUAACCUUAUAUCAAAUUCCCCGAAAAAAAUAGAAAAAUCAUGAAACAAAACCGAAUUACAAAAUAAGCUAGAAACCAAACUGGAAUGAGAUCAAACCGAAUGGAUAUAUAAAUAAAUCAUUACUAAUAAAGUUAUUUUAAAAAAUACAAGCUGGAUCAAAAAUUUGAAUGAGUUCAAAACUGAAUUGAAACCAAACGAAAUAUAAAUAGUUUUUAUAUAAUUCACUCACUUUUUAUAGAUACAGAAAACGAAAAACAACCCUAAUAAUUAAAAAUUCAUUAUUUUUGAUAAAUGAAUUAAAAGUAGGUAUAACCAUAAUAUUAAAUAAAUAAGUGUUUUAGGUUAUUUUGUGACAAAAACCGAACUGAAAUUAAACAAGAGUGGGACCAAAUCGAAUAAAAACCAAACCGAACUACAAAAGCUUUAAUAUGAUGAUUUAUUUUUAAAGAAUCAAAAGACCAAAAACUCGAAUACCAAAUAAACCGAAUAGUAAAGUGGAUUGUUCAACACUGACCCUCUCCUCGAAUCCAUCUGGCAAUGCUUCUUGAAUCGUUGAUAUGCCUCUUGGUGGCUUAACCGCUAGAAGAAACGGCAAACCUGUUAGUUCCAUUGCUAAACAAAGUUCUUGGAACUGAUCUUUCUGCAAAACAACUUGUGUCCCCAACGCACAAAACACAACCGAGUCUGGUUCAAAUCCACUGAGCCAAUUACUCCAUUUUUCUUCUAGCUGUUUAGUCUCGUCUGGUUCAGGGAACAUCGGACCCGUCAAGAGAACCCUUUUCUUGCAAUGCUUUUCGAUAUAGUCGCAAAAGCUUCCUUCGAUUUCUCUUACCGUCCUUAUAGCAAUGACGUCGCAGUUCAUAAGACUUGUAGUGAUUCGUUCCAUGAAUUUUGUUCCGUCAUUGUUUAUAGACUUCAUGGAGUAGAGAUCUUGUUUACGAAGCAAAACUUUUGAUGAAGGAUAUCCCGGUGGAGGAACACCUAACUCACCACCUAUAACGAAUUCUAUAGAAUUAAAACCCAUAACAAUUUUAUUGUAUUCACCGUCUGACGUCUAAUAACAAUUUUCUUUUUAGUAACCAAGAAGUCCCGGAGUACUUUAUGUCUAUCAGUUUUUUGGGACCAUGAAGCACAGCAUUUAGUCUCCUCCCUAGUGGCUAGUGUCAUUCUUAUCAAUGAGUUUGAUGAGGCAAGCAUUUAGUCUCUAUCAGUUUUUUGGGACCAUGAAGCAAAGCAUUUAGUCUCUCUUUUUUUUUUUUUAAUCACUUCUUUCUAAAUAACCAUCACUGUUUUUUAUUAUUUUUUUCUUUUCCUGGCAUUAGUUUUAUUUUUAUGCUCUCCUAGUUUUUUUCCCUUCCUAUAAUUUUCAAAUUUCUUCUGAUAAGCUACAUAUAUAUAUAUAUAUAUAUAUAUAUAUAUAUAUAUUGACUUGCUUAACAAAAAUCAAUAUGACAAGUUACACGACAGUCGCUAAUUAUUUGUGUAACAGUCAAUAAAUUUAAAGUUAUGAAAACUAACGUAUACUUUUGGAAAUCGAUUGAAAUUACAAUUAAAAUGACACUUUUCUAUUCUAUCAAAUAACAGCAAAAUAAUUGUGUUUGAGACUCUUAAAAAAUUAUAGUAGAAAAGAUCUUUUAUCAUCAAAAACUAUAUAUACAAGAAAAAUGUUUGGUUAACUAGAUCGGAAUAGUAACGUUACAUACAAAACAUAUAAUUAUCUAAAGAACGAAAUCUAACACUGUAUAUCAUGCACACACAAACAGAAAAACCAAAAACGAAAUUUAUAAUUGUUACUUCGAUAAUGAUAUCUAAGUAUUUUCAGUUAUAUAUAAUUGAAUAAAUUUGAGUUCAUAUUCUGCUCACGGUAAAAUAAUAUCUUUCUAGAGUACUAACCUUGAACAAGCAUACUAGCUAUAGUCGAUGCAGACACCACAACAUACAUCACAGUCUUGACGCCAAAAUCUUUAGCCAUUUCCGGAAUCCAAUGAGCAAAGUCGAAGAAGAUGAGGUCCGGUUUUACGGCUAGGACCUGAUCUUCGAUCUGAGCACGUGUGAGAUCCAUUGCAGAGGCUAAGAGAUUGGUUGAUGACACCGGGAUUUCCGAGGCUGUCUCUGUGCCGAUGGGGAGACCAUCGACAUGAGGAACAGUGACGGAGUGAAAGACAAUUUUGUCUGGAAACAGAUUGAGAUGUUCAUAUUGUUUUAGAGUUUUCUUGGGAAGCAAGAAAGUGACCCUAUGACCUUUAUCAGCUAAUUUGUUGGCAAGAUGCAAGAAUGGAGUCAUAUGACCAGUUGCAAACCAUGGAUACAUAAGUGCAUGGAACUUUGAAUCCAUUUGUUUUGUUUAUUGUUUUUUUUUGUUUUGUCUUUUCUUCUUUCUUAGUAUAUCUAGGUUCAGCUUUGGACUCUAAAGGUUUAUUUAUACAUGGCAAGUAAUGCAUGGAAACCUAACUAAGUGCGCAGUUGGGAAUUAAAGCAAAAGCUAGAAGGGGCCUACGGCUUCAUAAAGUUUCUCUUUUCCAAGUACGAUGUUAGGUUUCAGAGAUACUAAAAAAAUGUUAUUUUGAUACCGACGUUAUAAUUCUUCGAGAGACUCCUCUACCUUCUUCUUGCCUCAUCAAACUCAUUGAUAAGAAUGUCGGAAAUCCAAUUAGUUCGAUAAAUCAAGAGACAUCACAUAUGAUAAUCGUAUGAGGGUGUAGUUCACCACUCGUUCACCAUGGGCCUUCCCUAACGCCAAAGCGAAGGCUGAAGCAGAAUCUUCCGAUCUAUAUAUUGUGUAUAUAUAAUCGUUUGAAUUAAAGUAUGCUUUCAUUUGAGAGCAAAAAAAAAGUACGCUUCCUCGUAAAAAACAUUUGUUUUGAUUGAAUAAACUUUAUAUUCAACUCAAAUAUAGAAAGUAUUAUUUUUCUCUCACAGAAGUUUAUUGUUUGAUAGGGAUGGGCAUUCGGUUGUUCUAGUUGGCUCUGUUCGUUAAAAAAUAUUUUUCAUUUUUUUUUGGGUUCUAUAGAUAUUAUUGAUCAUUAGUUUAUAUUUCAGUUUGGUUCGGUUCAUAUUCGAGUUUGGUUUGGUUGUGCUUUGAAAAAUUAACAUAACAAAGAAAUUAAUUAACUAAUUUUACUUAAAUAUUUAAAUAUAAUAUUCUAUAUACUUAAUCAACUUAUUGAUUCUCUAUUAAAUUUUGGUUAAUAUGGUUAAUUCCAUGCAAAUUAUUUUAUAAUUAAUUCCAAGUUCUAGUUAGGAAAUUUUGGCUCGGUUGAAGAUGGUUCUAAAAAUUUUCUCUACUCUAUUUUUGACCCAGCAAUAGCUUCAAUAUCAAUUAUACGAUUAUUUAAAAACAAACUUGAACGACAUAUGAAUCCAUGUAAAAAAAGAGAUAGUCCACCAUUUCGACCUUCCAAUUCCAUGGUCAAUAAUUUUUAUCACCAAAUUCAAACUAAAAAUCUUGAUUGUUUUUGAAAGGAAGAGAAAAAAAAAGGAGCAAACAGCGAUACAACUCCCGAAAAAGUUAAUGCAUUUAUAACCAAAAAUUUAAUAUGUUUUUUAAUGUGUAAGAAAUUUAAAACAUUUUUAAAAUUUUAAAUAGAGGGAGUAAUUUUUAAAGUUCAAGACAGAUGAAUACCAUAUACUUUUUUUUUUUUAAAAAUGAAUACCAUAUGAAUUAUUCUUUCAAAACAAAUUAGGUGUUUAGCCCGCGACUUGCGCAGACCGAAAAGUUUCAUUGAAAUCUAAAAUAAAAUUUUAUGUCAUAAAUAAAAAAUACUUAGAUCAAAAAUUUGAUACAUACAAAAUUAAAAUAAAACUAACCUAUGAAAGUAAUCAUUGUCUAACAUUAAAAACUUUAAAAUCAAUACUAAUAAGUGUAUAAAAUCAAUAAACACAAACUAAAAUAAAAUUAAUAUGAAUUAUUCAUCUUUUUCUUUUAAAAUUUUAUUUUUUUUUUCUCUAUCAUUUUCUUCUUUAUUUUUUUCUUUUUUUUUUUUGUUUCCUUCUUUAUUUUCUAUGUCUUUUUUUACUUUUUAUUCUGCAUGUUUUUCUUUUUCACGUCUUCUUAUUCUUCUCAACAUCUUUUCCUUUUUCCUCUCAUACAUCUUUUGAUUUUUUUCUUUUCAACGUUUUAUUCCCUUUCUUCUUCUUCUUCUUCUUCUUAUUUUUUUUUUUUUUUUUUUUUUCCUUUUUCAUUGUCAUCGUCUUCUUUGUUAUCACCGACUUCCUAUUCUUCUGGUGUUUUUCGGCUUUUACAUCAUCUUCAUAUUCUUCUACUUUCUCCAAUUCCUCCUCUUUUAAGGUUUUCAUCUAAUUUUUUCUCUUCACUAUCUUCUUCUUCUUCUACUUUGUCUUCUAUUUUAUUUUAUUUUUCUCAUUCAACAGAUUCUUAUUCCUCUUCUUCCAAUUAUUCUUACUCUCUCCAAAUUCUUCAUCAUAUUUUAAAGAUCUUUGUCUUAUCUGUCUUUUUACUCUUCUCAUGGUUUAUAUUUUCCCUUUUUUAAUUUUUUCCUUAUAUUUUUGAUUUUUUUAUCGUUAUUUGUUUUCAAAUUGUUCUUCUUUAUUGUCUUCAUCUUUUUUUUUUACUUCUUAUUCAUCUGAUUUGUCUUCGUUUUUUUAUCAUAUUUACCUUUUUCUACUUUGUCUUCUUCAUCUUCUAGUUUUCUUCCAUUUUAUUAUUAUUUUCUUUCACUUCCUCUACUAUCUACUGGUUUUCUUUUAUGACUUCUUCUUCUGAUUAUCUUUUUUCUUCUCCAAUUGGUGAUUUAAUUUUUUUUGUUCAUCAUCAUCGACCUAUCCAAAUAUUUGAAUUAUCUCACUUGAACAUUGUAUUAUUUUUUGGACAUAUAAUCCAUGUUUUCUUAUUCUUCUCAUUUUUCAUUAUUUAUCAAGCUUUUCUAUUCUUUGGUUUUUAUCUUUNNNNNNNNNNNNNNNNNNNNNNNNNNNNNNNNNNNNNNNNNNNNNNNNNNNNNNNNNNNNNNNNNNNNNNNNNNNNNNNNNNNNNNNNNNNNNNNNNNNNAUUUUUUCUUUCUAAUUUUUGUUUGUCUUUUUCGCAUCUUUACUUUAUUCUUUUUCGUUUCUUUUUCAUCGUCGGAUUUUCAUCUUCUUAUACUUUAUUUUUUUCAUCUACCAUUUUUGUUCUUCUUUUUCUUUCAGUUUUCUUCUUCAACUUUGAGUUCUUCAUCUCUUUAUCAUUUUUCUUCUUCACUAUUUUGUGUUAUCCAUCUUGAUCUUAUCGUUCAUGGUCUAGGACUUUUUGUUCAUUUUUCCUCAUUUUUUUACGUUUCUGUCAACUCUAUGUUCUGUUUCAAUUUAUCUUUUUUCUCUUUUUUUCUACUUCGUUUUUCCCUUUUCCCCUUUUUAUGUUUUCUUUUUUGGUUUUUUCCUCUGCGUCCUGCUAGAGUAUUUGGCCUCUCUUACAUUUUUCCAAAAAUAAACAGAAUUCAGAAAGCCAUAUUUAAAAAAAACAAAAAAAAAACAAAAGACUUAAAACCUGUUCAUUAGACAAUGAAGAUGAUUUAUGAUAUGUUGACAUGGUUUUAAUCACGUUAAGUAAGGAAGAAUAACUGACAACACAAAACAACAAUAUAUAAUCGAGGAACACUACUAUUGGUACUAUAAAACGAAAAAACAAAAAAAAAAAUUGAAAAUUAAUUUAUAAAAAAUAAAGACGGUAAACAAUACAACGAAAAACUAAACAAUGUAGAAACCAAACCACAAUUGAGCUUAAGAUACAUUUAAAAAGUAAUAUAUUUAUAUAUAGAUCUCAACUUAAGCUAGGAUUUCUCACAUCACAUGUACAUUUUUUUUCCUGAUAAUCUCGCUCAACAGAUAAUCCAAUUGAAAUUAUUUUAAUAUUAUCAAAAUAAUUAAAAAUGGCAGAAAAAUUGUUAUAUAAACUACAAAAAUAAAUAAAUUAAUUAAGAAUAUUUAAAAAGAUUUUUUUAACGAAUAAAGGGGAAUUAGUUACCUAGAUUGAAUGAGAGACCUUAUAGCGAAAAAUUAACUUCGUAUAUAUUAUAUAUGAUAUGAUUUUAAAUGUUUUUUUGAUUAAAUUCCAAUUUUUAAAAUUUCGUUAUUUUCUAUUUUAAAUAAUUUUUGAUUAAAUUUCGAUUAAUAUUUUUAUUUAAUUUACAAUUUUUAAUAAUUUUUAAUUAAUUUACGAUUUUUUUUCUUGAUAAUCUUGCUCAACAGAUAAUCCAAUUGAAAUUAUUUUAAUAUUAUCAAAAUAAUUAAAAGUGGCAGCAAAAUUGUUAUAUAAACUACGAAAAUAAAUCAAUUAAGAAGAUUUAAAAAGAUUUUAUUAACAAAUAAAGAGGAAUUAAUUACCUAAAUUGAAUGAGAGACCUUAUAGCGAAAAAUUAACUUCGCAUAUAUUAUAUAUGAUAUGAUUUUAAAUGUUUUUUUUAUUAAAUUCCAAUUUUUUAAUUUUCGUUAUUUUUUAUUUUAAAUAUUUUUGGAUUAAAUUUCGAUUAAUAUUUUUAUUUAAUUUACAAUUUUUAAUAAGUUUUAAUUAAUUUACGAUUUUUUUUCCUGAUAAUCUCGCUCAAUAGAUAAUCCAAUUGAAAUUCUUUUAAUAUUAUCAUAAUAAUUAAAAGUGGCAGCAAAAUUGUUAUAUAAACUAUGAAAAUAAAUAAAUUAAUUAAUAAUAUUUAAAAUAUUUAUUAACGAAUAAAGGGGAAUUAAUUACCUAGAUUGAAUGAGAGACCUUAUAGCGAAAAAUUACUUCGCAUAUAUUAUAUAUGAUAUGAUUUUAAGUAUUUUUUUGAUUAAAUUCCAAUUUUUAAAUUUUUGUUAUUUUAUAUUUUAAAUACUUUUUGAUUUAAUUUCGAUUAAUAUUUUUAUUUAAUUUACGAUUUUUAAUAAACUUUUUUUUAAUUAAUUUACGAUUUUUUAUAAGUUUUUUAUUAAAUUUAAUUUUUAAAAAUAUAAGAAAGGGUAAAGGGUAAUUAGCCACCUUAAGAUUGAAUGAGAGAGCUUUAACUCAAAAUUUUACUUUGCUUAUAUGAUAUAUGAUGAUAUUAAGUAUUUUAUUGAUUAAAUUCCAAUUUUUAAAUUUUUGUUAUUUUAUAUUUUAAAUAUUUUUUGAUUUAAUUUCGAUUAAUAUUUUUAUUUAAUUUACGAUUUUUAAUAAACUUUUUUUUUAAUUAAUUUACGAUUUUUUAUAAGUUUUUUAUUAAAUUUAAUUUUUAAAAAUAUAAGAAGGAGUAAAGGGUAAUUAGCCACCUUAAGAUUGAAUGAGAGAGCUUUAACUUAAAAUUUUACUUUGCUUAUAAUAUAUAUGAUCAUUUGAAAUGUUUGGUUUAAUAAACCCAACAAUUUUAUAAAUUACUAUUAAGAACCUAAAUUAUACUAUAAAUCCAACCAAUAAUUCUAACCAGACAAAAAGCCAAACAUUUAAUAUGUUUUUAGCAAUGCUAGAUAUUUUUUCCUUUUUUGCCUAGUGAAAGCAUUAAUUAAUAGAACCAACUACAGAGUCGACUCCAAAAAUAGAAUAAGGCCACCAAAAAUAUACAGCGAAAACACAUUUAAGAUGUAGUUUUAUGUCGGGUACGGUGAUGAAGCCACCGUUGGUCCACUCAUCGUGAGAUACGACUGAAAACGUUCAUCUCUAAUUACACUCUUAGCCAUUUCACGAGCUAUGAAUUGGCUUCCAAGACACCAAUUUGAGGGGAUACCACGCUAAACAGAGCCCACAUCCUAUACAACUUUCGGAUUUAAUGCUAAUACAAAAUCAUUUGGCCAAAUGAUAAACAAAAUAGUUUUUAGAUUUAGUUUAUAAUUUAAAAUUUUAUCUUCUAGAGAUUUUAUGAAAUUAAUUAUACUUAACUAGAUCUUGAACCCGCAAAAUCUAAAAAAAAAAAAUAAUGUAUAUUGAAAUUUUACUCAUAAAUAAACACAGUGAUGAUACAUAGAUGUGAAUAUCUAAAAUUUUUAAUAACUAUUAUUGUAAGAAAAUAAACAUAAAUAACUUUUUAAAGCGUAAAAAUAUAAAGAUGAAUGAACUAUAAAAAGUAUUAACACACAAUUUUAUUUGGAUUAAAACUCUAUAAUUUAUGCACCAAUAUAUAACCAACACAACAUAGAUAUCUGUAUAAAUGCAAGUAUACAAUUAAAAAUUGAGGAAUUGACAUUGAGAAUAAAUUAUUCAAAGGUAAUCCAAAUGCUCUUCAAAUUUUUAAAAUAUGAUCAAUUAGAAGAAGGUAAACAAUGAAUAAGAAAAUAUGAAGUCCAAUUAUAAGCAACACCAAUCUUAUUCAGUAGAAUUCAAUUAUUGAUAGAUUGGUGUUGAUUACUGAGAAUUUCUCUGAAUACUUAAACAAUAUUGAUAGAAAUGGUUAGUUAUGCAAAAACGAUGAUACAAAAGUUUAUUCUCCAAAAUAGUAAUUUCAUUAUCUACAGUUUUUGGACAAAACCAUGCAUAUAUUAAAAAAUUAGAAAAUUUCUAAUCUAAAAGAAUAAUCUUACAAAAAUUAAUCAGAGAGACAUAUUCGAUGAGAAAGAACAUAUGAAUUUUGUAACAAAGAAGUGAAGUAUGAAGCAUUUAAAAACGCGAAUUGCUGAUGGACUGAAUCUUAUGUUUGGGCUAAUUAUUGAUUUGGCGCAAAAUAUGAAAAUUAAAAAAAAAAAUCAAUUUAUAUAUAACUGAACAUCACAUAAAAAUAAAUUAAAAUUAAAAUAUGAAAAUUAAGAGAAUAAUAUUAAGAGAUUUUGGUAUGUAUAACUGAACAUCACACAAAAACAAAUUAAAAUGAUUUUAUAUCUCUACAUACCAGUUCUCACGACUGUAUUAUAAACUUUUACAAAUACUGAAUUCAUUAUUUUAUAUUCGUCUAAUAAAUUGUCUAAACUUGAUUCCGAUCAAACCAUAAGUAUUCUAUAAAUUUGCUCAUGAAAUUUAAAUUUCUUUUUUUUUUUGUUGAAAAACAAGUUCUUCAUUAAUAUAUUUCCAAUACAAGUUCUAUGAUUGAUUUGUAAUUUUAGUGAUUUAAUAAGAUGACAAUAAAUUAUGCAUCUGAUUGGGUGUAGCCAAAAUUGAUGCUUCUUUCAUUUCCAUCAUACAAUUUCGCAUAUUCAUCUAAUAAACCAGAUGUUACAUAUGCAUUUUUUUAAUGAAACAAUGAAUUGUAAAUUGAAUAAUAAUUCAUAAGAAAAAGAACUAUGUUGGCUUUUAUGAAUUGGGUUAUAUUUGCCUACAUAAUUACCAAUUUUCCAUUCAGGCUAAAUAAGUUAGCUUUUGUUUUAUAUAUAUAUAUAUAUAUAUAUAUAUAUAUAUAUAUGAAACGUAUGUUGUUGCAUCAUCCGCUUUAUUCAUGGCUAACAAUCUAGUACACAUGUUUUUUUAUAAUUCCAUACCAGUAGCAAUUUCUUUCAAGUGAACUUUAUCCUAUUUCAGUAGUUCUAAAUUUUUUGAAGUUCUUCAACAUUAAAUUAAUUUAUACAUUUUGUUUUUCAAAAUUAUAAGUUGAGUGCAUUUUGAAAUUAAUAUCAAUAGAAAAAACAUGUCGAUUAGAACAAAAUAAAUAGAACUUCAAAAGACGUUAAAAGAGGCAACUGUUGAUAAAAAAAAGUAGUUAUGAAUAAAAAAGUUAUAAUUAAAAGACUCAAUAAUAGAAUUUAAAGACACAACCUUUGUUAUAAAUAUAUGAUAAUAUGUGUAAGUAUUUAACAAAACAGAUCGGAAGCUUGAAAGUUAGAGAAACGAAAUAAAUUAGAAAGAAUCGGAGGCCAUAGAUAGGCACAUGUGCAGGAUAAAAGCCCUUACCUUGGCCACUGGCUAGUGCAUGGCAUAUUCACAUUCAUAUUGACCUCAUACGAUCCAUAUUCUUUUCUAAUCUCAUAUCUCUCUGUCAAUUAUUCCUCUUUAAUAUUCAUAUUAAUUGCUAACUAUGUACUUAUACGUAAACAUGGACCGUAUGAUUCGAGUUGAAGAUCCCCAUAUCCUAUAUAUGGGUCUUUUUUUCUCUAUCAGUUUCCUUCUCCAAAUAACCCUUGCUUACGGAACAAUCAAAAAAUUGAAUGAUACUAAUAACUUAGUGUUUUAAAAAAUUUUAUCGGGAUCGUUCAUAAAUGAUAAUAAGUCAAACAUGGCGUAGAGACACAUGGAGCACUCGAUUUUACGUAAGUGUACCACACGCUGCAACAAAAGGCGCGUAGAGACGUUAUAUUAAAAAUUAAAAAAAAUCCAUAUUAAUCUCCGGCGAGUCUUGCUUUUUACGAUAGCUUUUUGAGCAUCUCCGGCGGCGUGGUCACCGGCCGUCAACUUCACCAUCAUCAUCAUUAUAUAUCAACAUGCAUCAUCAUAUACAUUCAUAUUAUACCAUUUUAAUUAACUCCGUUGACAAUAACGUGUGAGUGUGUGUAUAUAAAUGUAAAUCAAGAACUUGUAGCUGCUUAGAAAGAAAGGCAAAUGUUUCAAGAGAUUGGUUGGAUUGAUUGAUCAAGAAAACGUAAUCAAAAUGGGAUCGUCGUCCAACGGAGGUGUGCCACCUGGUUUUCGGUUUCAUCCGACGGACGAAGAGCUUCUCCAUUACUACUUGAAGAAGAAAAUCUCUUACCAAAAGUUUGAGAUGGAAGUUAUCAGAGAGGUUGAUUUAAAUAAGCUUGAGCCUUGGGAUUUACAAGGUACUAUUUCUACUUAUUCGACUCAUUUAUCAAGAAACUCUCGCAAUUCAUUGUUUGUUAUUAACCUCAUUUCAAUAUCGAUUUCACUUAUUGUUAAUUGGUUUGAGAUGAAAACCCAUAAAUCUUGAUAGCUCUUUUCCACUUCUUGAUUACUAGAUAUAUACAUGGAAAUUUAUUAGUGAUUCAAUUCUCUAAUUUUGUAUGAUGUUUUUUUUUUCUAUUAGAGAGAUGCAAGAUAGGGUCAACGCCGCAGAACGAAUGGUAUUUCUUCAGCCACAAAGACAGGAAAUAUCCAACAGGUUCAAGGACAAAUCGUGCUACUCAUGCGGGGUUCUGGAAGGCCACAGGACGUGACAAAUGCAUAAGAAACUCUUACAAGAAGAUAGGAAUGAGGAAGACACUUGUGUUCUACAAAGGAAGAGCUCCUCAUGGCCAAAAGACUGAUUGGAUCAUGCAUGAGUACCGUCUCGAAGACGCUGACGAUUCUCAAGGCAACCCUAGUGUAUGUCGUUUCUUUGAGCAAUCUUUAAAAUCAUAAUAUAGAUCAUUAAUGGCACAAAUAUCCGAUUUUCAAAUUUUUUUUUCUAAAUUGUUUUGAAUAUGUAUAUUAAAUUCUAUAAAAUUCUUUAUACAAAAUUUUGAUAUAUACAGUAAUUCCUUAUACAAAAUUUUGACAGAGAAUUUUCACAGAGCAUUUUAAGUAGUUUGUGACUGUUUAUCAUGAUGCGUUAAAUUCAGUAGGUUGGUUAGGGUCUACUUUAUUGAAUCUGUUUUGUGCAUUAUACUAUAUGAUCUUGUAGGAAGAUGGAUGGGUGGUUUGUAGGGUGUUCAUGAAGAAAAAUUUGUUCAAGGUAGUGAAUGAAGGUGGCUCAAGCAUUAACUCAACAGACCAAUACAACCAUGAUGCGUCCAACAACAGCAACACGCUCCAAGCUCGUAGCUUUAUGCACAGAGACAGCCCUUACCAGCUAGUACGCAACCAUGGAGCCACAACAUUUGAACUGAACAAGCCUGACCUUUCUCUUCAUCAAUACCCACCAAUCUUCCAUAAGCCACCUUCUCUUGGAUUUGACUACACUUCAGGACUUCAAAGGGACUGUGAAAGUGCGGCUAGUGAAGGGUUACGGUACCAGCAAGCGUGCGAGCCAGGUUUAGAGGUUGGCACGUGCGAGACAGAGGCUAGUCAUAACCAUCAACAAGGUUUAGGUGAAUGGUCAAUGAUGGAUCAUAGGCUUGUGACUUGUCAUUUGGGAAAUGAAGAUUCCUCUAGAGGGAUUAGGUUUGAGGAUGGUAACAACAAUUCUUCUUCUGUUUCCCAGCCAAUUCCUGCGUCGAACCAGCUUUCUUUGCGCAGUGAGAUGGAUUUCUGGGGUUAUUCUAAAUAGAUGUUUAUAAUAUCUAAUGACUAUUCAAGUCUUGGUGGUGUGUGUGUGUGUGUGUUCUUGAUUACAUUUUUAAUUUUUAGUUCAUUUAUGGUUGGAAGCAAAUUGCUUCACAAAACCCAAAUAUAUUGCCACUAUGGGAAUGAAUAAGAACAGGUUUGAUUAGUUUAAUGUAUUCAUCAUGUAUUGUUAUUCUCAUUUGCCUCGCACGAACCUAAGCAUGUAUAAAUAUUUUUUUUAACAAUAUGCAUUAUGUGUUUUGGUGGUGACAACACUUAGCAUCAGUAUUAGAUUACAUGUCUUUGUGGAUUGCUUUCAUGAUGACAAGUCGAAAACAACAAAAUCAGCGGCUAGAAAUGGUUAUAAAAUUUGCUAGAGUGAUGUAAAUUAUUGCUCAAUAAUAUUGAUUUUUUGUGCACUUUUUCCCCCCUUACAUAUAUAAAACCAAAGGAUAGCUAUAUAUUUAACCGCAUACGCAAACGCACUGUUAGAUGACUAUCCUUAGAAGCAUAAUAAAGCAGCACCAUUGGAAAUAUAUCAAGAAGAUGCAGAUGGAAGUUUUUUUCACAAUGUCAAUAGAAAUUCUCAUCAAACAAAGUGUACAAAGCAUCUUCUCGAAGCUCUUUUGAAACUAGAAAACGGCUUAGAGAGUGGGAGCUCUCUCGGCGGUUCCAGCGAUGACGGUAAGCAAAUUGUUUCCAAAAGGAUCACUUAGAUGCUUUGAAAGGUUCUCAACGGGACCUUCUCCGGUAACGUAAGCUUGGAUGAAGAAACCAAGCAUCGCAAACAUGGCUAAUCUCCCGUUCUUGAUCUCUUUAACCUUGAGAAGAGCUCCUUGUUCAGGGUCCUUAGCAAGUCCCAGAGGAUCAAAUGGACCUCCUGGGUGAAGCUUGUCUUCGAAAUCCUGCCCAAAUUUUUUGCAUUUCCAAGUUUAGUUGUGUUCCCCGUGAGGAAUUCGAAUGAGUAAUAGCUUAAAAUGUAGAGUAAAUUUACCAAUCCGUUGGUGAUUCUGUAGUACUCGGCUCCACCGAGGAGAACAACUUCAGCAACUACGGCGAGAACAAGGUUGAUUGGGAUGUUCUUGCCGAAAUAGUUCAAUGUGUUUCCAUCAAGAAGCAGAGCACCAGUCUGCAUCGUCAUUCCAAUAAAACCCAUCAAAAUCAUAAGUUCUUGCUUUGCUAUAUAUAAUCUGAAGUCAAUUGAAGAUUCAAGAAAGAUGAGAAUUAGUAUAAAGAACCUUAAACCAGACAGCUUCAGGGCCACAGUUAGCACCGUAUUUGUUUAAGGCUUCAGGGAUGAUGAAACCAGCUGCUCCCAACAUAGCCCAUCUCGCGUGGAUCAAUUCAAAGGCUUGGUAUCUAGCAACCACAUUCAUUACACAACCAGUCUUAAUGACAUUGACAAAUUUGAGAGAUAAGAGAUGGAACUAACGAAACAGGUAUUAGAGCAGAGAAUCUGCUUACUUAGCAAAGUUCUCAGGCUUCUUUCCAAGUCCAAAUGGGUCAUAGCCAUAGCUGCAAUUCAGAUUUGAUACCAAUAAAUCCUAAGUACCAAAGCCAAAGCAAGCAUAGAAAGAGAGACAUGAAGAAGUAUCUUACUCUCCAGCAACUUCACCGUUUAAGUACUCUGGGAUCUCUGAUCUGUCCAAAAGACCAUCCGGCAAGAAUAUUCUCCUGUCAGGACCUGAAUUGCAAACACAUUCAUGAUCAGGGAGGCGUAUUGAUAGAAAGCAAAGGAAACAAUACGAUGUUGAAAGGGAAGUAGAGGACACAUACCGUACCACUUGGCGAGCUCGUCGUUCGCAACAGAGACGGUCUUCUUAGGAGGAGGAGCUGGCUUUUUCUUGGAGAACAGAGCAACUGUCUUGAACGUAGCCGGGCUUGAUGCCAAUGGAGCAGACGAUCUUGACACUGCCCUGAAGUUAAGGGGCGUACCAAGCAUUUCCGACACACCCAAAGACGCCAUCUUUUUUAGCCCCAAAGUUUCAAGCUUUUUUACUCUGUAUCAAGACUAAGAGGAGAAGCUAGGUGAAAGGAAGGAAGAGACGAAAACUGCUUCUAUAAGGUGGAGAGUGAGAUUCGUUCAGGCUUUUGAUUGGUCCAAUUUGGGAAUGUGAAAUAUGAUUCUGUUCUCUGAUUGGCUGUGGUUGCUGAUGUGGCUCAUAGAUUGGUUUUUGUUGGAUAAUCUAUUUUAUCCAUAUCCUCUGUUUCUCUUUUGUGUGGCCAUGCUUUUACCUAUACACUGCAAGACUGUACACAAGAUUCUCAAAACACAUGAAAAUCUCAACUGUUGAAUGUCAUCCACAGGUCUUUUACUUAGUAGGGCUUUCAGUAAAUUUCUCAGCACACUAGUCUGCUUAUUACCGUAUCGUGGACUCGCAUUCAGUCGCGCAAAAUAACGCGCAAAGUCAACAGUUAGAUAUCCAAAUUGGAUCAACAACAAUGGCUGCUUCUGCAAAAUUGGGUUAUGCCUGCUCAUUAUCGUAAGAAAACGCUCAAACUCAAUGGCGUUUGGGGAGUUAAGUUGAGCCAUUAGCAUCACUAGAAUGAUCAAUAUAAACUACUUGAAUCCGUCUUUGUACCAUAUCCAAAUCGUACAAUAACGAAUGCGAUUCACACAUUCCGGAUUGAAGAACAAGGCAAUACUAACAUUUACUUGAAAGGAACUAAUCCAAAGCUGCAACAAGACAAGUAUCUAAGCUAAAAGAUGCAGACUUGCAGAGUUUUUUUUUUUUAAUUUACAAUCUUCUCCACUUGUCGAUUUCUUUUGAAGUGGCUUUCACAAGUUUCUUGGUGUGGACAACGAGUUCAUCAAUCAGAGAAUCAACUUCAUCUCUGUCAAUAGCCAAAAGAAAAAAAUGAUCUUUUUCAGUUCUAACACAAACAUUACUUGUUUUGUCACAAAUAGAGUCAACACUAGAAUCUAAUUACUCACAAAGAUGGUUUUCCAACGUUGUAAUAAGAGCGAGAGUGAUCAUAAGCAGCUCCUCUUCCGACGCCAUACCCAAAUCCAACACCGAUUCCACAACCAGCUCCGAAUCCGAGACCAAACUGUAAUCCAGGAACUCCUGGUCCGAAUCCUACACCUGAUUUCCAUCGAUCUCUUAGUCAAGUUAACUAACACUUUUCUAACUAUCUAAAGAUAGUUUUUUGAGCGAUUUCGCAAGUCUAAGUUAGUCAAAAUUGGGACAAAAAUACCUCCGAUAAGACCGGCGCCGAAACCAAAUCCACAACCGACACCGAGUCCUAAAGCGGGACCAACUUUUCCGACGUCUUUGAUCCUCACCUGAGGAAGUUUCCACAGUAAUCCCUUGUCAUCGUCUCCGAUGCUUCUCCUUCGAUUGCUCAUCGUCUUUCUCUCUCUCUCUCUCCCUCUCUGUCCCCGUGGACUUCGUUAGUACAUACUUGGAAUAAGCCUAUAUUGAUCAGGCCCACUGUUAUUAGCAGAGGCCCAAUGAUUUUUUUUUUUCUUUAACAACUUUUAUAUUAAAUUAAACUAUAUAUAGAUGAUACAAAUAGUUCAUUAACCAUAUAAGUGGACAAUAGAAAACAUUAAAAGAUAAUAGAAAACAUUAAAAGAUGAAGAAUUUUGUAGUGCUCUUUUUGAUAACACAUCCGCUGCUUGAUUGAUUAUGUUCUCUGUUGACAUGAUCGAUAGAACAAAGUGGGAGCAUCAUGAUCCAUCAUCUGAUAUCAAUUAAUAUAGUGCUAAUUUCUGUAUUUUUACCAUCUGAAUUAAUUAACCGAACUAGCUGAUGCGUGUCAACUGAAUGAGGGAACAAGUUUUAUCCUUAACAAAAAGAAAUAAAAGCUACAAGUGCACAACUAAUCAGUUGUAGUAUUUAGGGAUCGAAUCCACAGAGAUUUGUGUGUCUGGUAUUCUUCUACGGUUUCUAACUUUAUGUCUAGACUAUAUUGGUUUUAGAGGUUGGUUGUUUUUCACGGAUUAAACUAAAACAAAAAAAAGCAAAUAUAUUCUACCCUAGAAAACAAGUAGAAAAAUCGAAUGCGAAGCAAGUAAAGCAAGCAAAAUAUCGAACUAAAGCAAUUUAAAUGCAGAUCUGAAUAAGCAAGUGAAAAUCGAUUAGUUUGUAAACUAUGGCUAAAAAAGCUGAGCUUUCGGGAACUCUACAGGGAUCAUAAUCGGUUUUGACACUAGGGUAGAUAGAUUGGGAUUGACGGAUAUCGAUAUAUAGGGUUCUAGAGCUAGAGUAUGGCGGUAUGACUACGUCACUGUCGUGAUCAUAACCAACUGUUUCUCGCAACACUGACCAGUAGGUUUCCACUCUGGCCCUGGAAUGGAGAGAACACAAGAGCUGCACAAGACUCGUCAAUACUCACGAUCUCGCCGCAGGUAGGUUUCCACUCCUACGGAAAAAUCGCAUGUUCAUUCUAGGACUGAUACUUAAUGAAAAAUUUCCCAACACUAACUAUCUAGAUCAGAUACUAGGUGAUCAAUCAAGCAUACAUGCAAUAAGAACGAGAAUAAACAGAGAACAAAGUUGAAAUCCCAGAUCUAUAAACCUAGAUGUCUUAAUCGAUUAUGAGAGCCCCUUUCGGGAACCCUAAGCCCAACUCGAGAUCUACUCAGACAUGGCUGAGGUCAACAUCAUCAUUGGUUUUAAUAAAAGUAUUCAAAAACAGUAAAUAAAAGAGAUGAAAGAAAGCUUCUCUAUUGAAGAACUCGGACUUGAACAAUCUUCUACAAAAAUCGCAUAAAACGGCUAAAAGAAAAGGGUUUCUGUAAAGUAUGAAGGGUGGUGUCUAAAAACGACCUAAAUGACAAGUACUUUUAGUCUUCAAUACUCCAUGGUCUCUAGGGUUCCGGAAUUGAGGCUGAGAAUGACUUUGGGCUUCAGAAAUAUGGGCUUUAGUUCGGAGUUGGCCGACCGCGGUCAGGGAUGACGUGACCGCGGGAAAUAGGUGGCUGGCCGCGGUCGGGAGGCUUGUGACCGCGGGGAAUGGGCUGGUGACCGCGGUAGCGUGACUUACUGGCCGUCUUCAAGUGGCUCCAGGGCUAAUGGAAUAUCUUGAGAUCCAACCGUUGGAAUGUCUCCAAACCAAGUGCAUUUGAAAGCUGGUUGAUUCUUCUAUAUGUUGUCCUAUUUUGAGGGUGAUCAGACGGUGAAAAGAUCUUCGUCUCUCCAUGAGAGUUCUGACGGUCUGCAAUUAUCCAAAAGAGUCUUUUUGUUCUAAUUUGUGCCUCUUUAUCCCAAAUGACCUAAAAAGUCUUUUAAAAUCCAAAAACAUAGAAAUCCUUUAAAAACCUUUGAAAAUAAAGUAAAAACACUUGUAAAAGACAUUAAAGUGAUCCAUAAAAAUAGUCAAAAUCCGGUGUUAUCACUAGCUCUUUAUUAUCACUUUCAAAUCAAACAUUCCACCAGCCUUGUAUCCAGAUGGACUAAACUAUAUGUAAAAAUCUAACUGCUUCAGCUUGUAGAGGACUUUGUACCUGCAGUAAUCGCCCAUUACCUGAUAGAACAUGUUUGUCUUCAUGAUCCCGUAAAAUCCAGCCUAUUCCAGUUGUAUCCCCUGUUAAGAUAUGAGAACUGUCAAAAUUAUAUUUGAGUCAUCUUUGUGGUGGAGGUUGCCAUUGUGAAGAACAGGUUAAUGAAUCAUCCUCAACAUUUCUUCCAUAGAAAUCUCAUAUCUUGUUACUGCACUUCAUUCCUUUGCUCCUUGCAAGCCACGAUCAGCAUCUUCCUUGGGGUGAGCAGAUCUUUUUUUUUGGAAUAUAAACUCAUUCUUUGAUUUCUAAAUAUUCUAAACUGUCCAAAAUGGUAAUACUCUAUCCUCCAUAAGCAGAGUUUUUGUUUUUGCUAUUGCGAUGAUUCAUUCAAUAUUUUCUUCAAGAAUUAUCGAUGGAUUUUCAAACGCUUGUAUGUUAGAACAUCGCCAAAUCGCAUGUGCAUGAGGACACUAAAACAGGAUAUGGUUUUCAUCUGCAAGACAACAUCACUGACAAAUUGGAUUUACAUUAACACCACGAAUACGUAAUCGUUCUGAGGUAGGUAGAGCUUCCGAUAAUGCACGCCAUAAGAAAUGCUGAAUCUUUGGUAGUAUCUUCAGCUUCCAUAUUUUCAUCUUAAGAUCAACUGACCCUUGAGGAGGUUCAAUGAUUUCAUCUCUUACCGCUUCAUGAGUUGCAAACCAAUAUCCGGAUUUUACCGAGUAAGAUGUGUCUUUAGAAUACAGCCAAAUAUACUUAUCUGUGGAUGCAAAUUUGGAUAGAACAAUUCUUUUGACAAUUGUAACAUCUUCCACACAUAAGAUAUUCUGUAACUUUGUUUUAUCACAUGCACGUUUUCCAGACACCCAUAAAUCAGCAAUUGUUAAAUUGGCAUCAAUAUUAAAUCCUCUUGCUGCUCCUGGUGAUGAUGCAGGAAUACAUCAAUCAGACGCCACUUUAGUAUCUUUCCCAUUACCAAUCUGAAAUCUUAGACCUUGUUGGAAGGUCUUUACCGGCUUGGACUGAUCUCCAACCAAAUGAAGGCUGCACACCACACGUUGAUUCUAAAAACAUCAACAUGUUAUGGUACCUUCCUUUGUAUAUCCGAGCAAUUAAUGAAUUAGGCUUUUUAAGGAUUCUACAUGCUUGUUUAUCAAGAAGCGCCCUGUUAAACUGAAACAAAUCUCUGAAGCCUAAUCCUCCAGUUUUUGGAAGUGACAUACGUUUCCAGGCUACCCACGAUAUCUUCCUUGAAUUAUGCUCUUUUCUCCACUAGAAUUCUUUUAACAUACUAUUAAUCUCAUCACAAAAUAUUUUUGGAAUUUGAAAACAAUUCAUGGAAUAGAUAAGCGAUGCUUGCAGAACAUAUUUGAUUAGAACCUCUUUUCCAGCAGAAGAAAGAAACUGAUGAUACCACCCAUUUAACUUUUCUUUUAUUCGUUUUAAAACAAGUCAAAUGCCUUUGUUUUGCUUCGACCAAAUUGUUCCAGCAACCCCAGAUAUUUUCCUCCCUCACCAACACUUUGAAUCCCUAGCAAUCCAUGUAUCAUAUCAUGUUGUCUUUGUGCUAUUCUUGUACCAAAAAUGAUGGAAGACUUGUCGUAGUUUACUUGUUGGCCUGAAAUGUUUUAUAUCUUCCAAUAAUUUCUGCCAUUACCUCACAAUCUGUUCUUGUUUCUCGACAGAAGAAGAGAGAAUCGUCGGCAAACAAUAAGUGAGAUACUGUUGGAAAAUGUGAAGCGAGCUUCAUACCCUGAAAACUGCGAUUUCUCUCUGCAAUAGUUAGCAUUUGGCUCAUCACCUCAGCACAAAGGAGAAAAAUAUAAGGAGAUAAUGGGUAUCCUUGUCUGAUACCCUGUGAUGGUUUAAUAUUACCAUAAGCAUUCCCAUUGAUCAAGACCGAAAACGAAACAGAUUUAACACAACUCAUAACCCAUUCAAUCCGUUUGUCACAGAAAUCCAUCCUUGUCAUUCACGAAAAGUUUCUAGAAAGGUUACUUAUUUGUUGCUAUUGUCUUAUCGUGCAUCAUACAUAAUAACUUGUAAUAGACUCCUUAAAUAUAUAUGCAUCAUUUAUAUUUUUAUAUAUAUAUUACUCUUUUCAUACACUGUUGUAUUUUUUUUAAUGAUGCAAACACAGUAGUUUUCAAUACAAUCCAUCACAAGAAAAAAUGGAAAAACUACAAAUUAAAGACAUACGAGAUUAGUUUAAAUGUAUUUUUGUAUAUGAUGUGUCAGAAAGAGGAGGGAUAAAGAAUCCAUGCCCGGCCAGAUUUGGGUGUGAAGUGCUUAAACCUACCAUAAAACAUUACUAGUAUAAGUAUGACUUUCCCAGCGGGACUCCACCGUCCCACGAACCCAUAACUCGCGUCUUCGCAGCCACCGUCACUCACAUUCAAGCGCCGUUUGCAGCUGUACCCGGUCGUGAACCCGACGUUUCCAUAUGCACUGCCGUUACAAUAUUGAAUUAAUUAGUAAUAUGUAUUGUUUUCAUGGAAAAAACUAAACUUAAGUAAUAAGGUAUAAAAGUACAGUUCAUAUCUUUCAUAAGGACAUAACCUUUUCUUAUUUGAUCUAAUCCAAAAAUAUGAUGGAACCUAAGAUCCAAAACUUUUCACUACUAUUGAUAUGAAUGUUAAUUAUUAAGGAAUAAAUAAAGAAGCUUAACCAGCCGAAAGACAUACUUUUUUGCUAAAAAAAUGAAUAAAAAGGUAAAUCUAGUAAUGGAUCGAACUAAUGAUAAUAACAGAGAAAAGAUUAGGAUCGAGUGAACCAGAUUUGAAUCUGCUGUAGUUGGAUAUAGUCACUUAUAUAUUAAUCUUUCACUUACUAGAGUUACAUGAUUUACAAGAAGGAAAAAAAUAGAUACGUAUGGUGAAUAACUCUGAAUUCUGAAAGCUUGGACAAAUUGUAAGGAUUAAUGAAAUUCUUAAUUCAAAUAUCAUUUUAAUCUCUCUAGAGGAGUUUUCAAUCCGUUUAUUUUCCUACGCUAAUUUUUUUCAUUUCUAAACUAUGUUAACAAGUUACAACUGGUACACAAUAUCUUCUCACAUAACAAUAUUUUACACACCUUCAAUAUGUUUAGGUCACCUAGUUUAUUAGAAGGUAAACUUAAUGCCCUAUCUCACCUAGAUAGAUUGAUGUCCAAUAUUCUUAGAAAAUUUUGAAAGUUUUUCGUGGUCUAUGUAAAAGCAUAUUGAACGUGUGUAAGUUUAAAAAUUUUAAAAGAUAUAUGUAAAAGCACACCUGAUAACUUCGAGAGUGAUAUUAAGGACGUUGAAGUUGAGUGGAUCUCGUCGUAGUUUUUCCCUUUCGCUGAUGGAAAUGAGAACGAUGCAUACUACCAAAAAGGAAAGUUGUGACACGAAAAGCCCACUCUUUUUCCUUUUCUUUCCAUUUUCGGAAUCAUCCUCUCCUUUCUCAUUCGUUUCUUCCGUAAACGGCAUAAACAAUGUGUACGGAGGAAGAUACCUUGUCAACACAAUUAUAUUUACUUAUCAGAAUUAUUCCUAUAGAUAAAAGAGAAAUAAUGCUUUGUGAACAUGGUGAGUUGGAGUCGAAGAGACACCCCACUAUCUUCAAAGGGCAUAUUCUGAUUCACUGAAUCCAAAAAAAAAAUAUUCUCUGCCAGACUGCUAGGAAUAUAUAUAAUAGAACAUAAAAAUAUGAAAAAAAUACAUUUUAAACUUAGAUAAGACCCGAACAUUCAGUAAUCAUCAUCAUUCAUCGCCAUCCAGAUUUGAAUAUACAUAUAUGUAUAUAUGUAUAACAAUUAAAAUUAUUGAGAUACUUCUCUAUGUUUUGGAGGAAGACGAUUUGUGAUUUCUACGAUGAUUUUUUUUUUCAAUUUAGGCUAAACGAUGACUUUUAAAACAUGAGCACCAUUAAAUGUAAAUUCUGUUAUCAUUGAAGCUAUUAAGAUAUUUAGAACAUCACACUAUCAUUCGAGUUAAAUCAUUAUAGUAUUUAUAACAAUUUUGUGGAGAAAUUAAGUUUUUUUUCAUGAACACUGCAAAAAUUUUACGUAAAAUAUAUUUUUGUUUUAGAACAUGCUCUUUGAAAAGUUUUGGACGCCGUACAUGCAUAGAUGCGUAUGUCAACUUCCACAUGUGUGAAAGUAUGUCGACAUAAAUGUACGUACGUUUCGACCGGACAAAAGUUUAAAUAUUUUGAGUCCACGUGAACGCAAGAAAUAAAAGAGGAGAGAGAGAGAGAGAGAGAGAGAGAGAGAGAGAGAGAGAGAGAGAGAGAGAGAGAGAGAGAGAG